AAAUAAUAUCAUGGUUAAAUCAGGAUCUCCAGAUAAAGACAAGAGAUUCUCUCUGACUGACAACACGACGAACAGAGUUUUCACCGUCACCAUCACUGAUCUGAGAAAAGAGGAUGAAGGACAAUACUGGUGUGCUGUGAAGAGGACUCUUUUUUUUUUUUGAUAUCUUUUUAACUGAUGUCUAUUCAGAGAUUUUGUUGCUGGUUAAACAGGAUAAAAACACCACUGAAGUUUCAACCAUCAGCUCUUUUUCAAAAACACAGUCGUCUUUCAGCACAACAGAACUGAAUCCACAAUCAGUGUCUCAUCAAACUGAAAGUGAAACGACAAGAACAACAACAGGAAAUACUACAGUUGAACUCCAUCAGCCAACCACUAACCUGCUUUCUGUUGCUGGCGGUCUGGGUUCGGUUCUGCUGGUUCUGACUCUGUGUUCUGGAACGUGCCUCAUCCUGAAAAAGAGGAAAAGGAAA